rnacentral:rRNA from 1 species
AAAGUGGAGCAAUCCAUGAGUAAAGUGGCGACCGGGUGAGUAACACGUGACCAAUCUACCCUUGAGUGGGGGAUAACCUCGGGAAACCGAGGCUAAUACCGCAUAAUAUCUUCGUGCAAACGAUGAUCAAAGGAGUAAUCCGCUUUUGGAGGGGGUCGCGGCUGAUUAGCUAGUUGGUAGGGUAAUGGCCUACCAAGGCGAAGAUCGGUAUCCGGCCUGAGAGGGCGCACGGACACACUGGAACUGAAACACGGUCCAGACUCCUACGGGAGGCAGCAGUGGGGAAUUUUGCGCAAUGGGGGAAACCCUGACGCAGCAACGCCGCGUGGAGGAUGAAGCCCCUUGGGGUGUAAACUCCUUUCGACCGGGAAAAUAAUGAUGGUACCGGUGGAAGAAGCACCGGCUAACUCUGUGCCAG